rnacentral:sRNA from 1 species
CCCUAGCCCCGAUAGUAGCGGUUACCCCACAGCAAGCAAUAGGAUAAGCGUUGGCGCGAGGAGUAAUAGCGGAUAGCGGGAAAUAGC